rnacentral:rRNA from 1 species
UUAGUGGCGGACGGGUGAGGUAAUGCGUGAGCAACCUGCCUCGGAGUGGGGGACAACAGUUGGAAACGACUGCUAAUACCGCAUAAUGUAUUACGGGGGGCAGUCCUCUGAAUACCAAAGAUUUAUCGCUCUGAGAUGGGCUCGCGUCUGAUUAGGCUAGUUGGUGAGGUAACGGCUCACCAAGGCUGCGAUCAGUAGCCGGACUGAGAGGUUGAACGGCCACAUUGGGACUGAGAUACGGCCCAGACUCCUACGGGGAGGUCAGCAGGUGGGGAAUAUUGGGCAAUGGGCGCGAGCCCUGACCCAGCAACGCCGCGUGAAGGAAGAAGGCUUUCGGGUUGUAAACUUCUUUUAUGAGGGACGAAGAACGUGACGGUACCUCAUGAAUAAGCCACGGCUAACUACGUGCCAGCCGCUGC